UUCCUCUCUUAGCUGUCUUUGGCUUCUUUCUCAUCUUCGUCUGCGACAGCCGUCCACGAUUUCUCUCUCCCCUUUUUGUCCCAUGUCCGUGCAGUUCCAUUCCCUUUCAAUUUCCUUCGUCGACUCCAGCGCCCAACAAACCUCCCCAAAGCUGACCGCAAGUCUUCAUCCACCAUCCCACAUCCAUCUCCAUCAUCAUCAUCCCAUCCAUCUUCUCUCCACCGAACGCCAGCAGGCCGCCUUUGUAGUCAACGAAACCAACAGCUCCUCCAUCUUGUUGACCGAAGCCAGGGAAGCCGAAGCCGCACGCAUCCAACGUCUCCACCGAAUUUGCUGCCGUUGUCAUGUCCAUCAAGACCGAAACAGCGGCCAGCACGUCUCCAACAGUCCACCGAAGACGCCAGCUCUCUUGCUCGGUUUCCCCCUAGCUCGACGCCAACGAAAUUCUCCAGCAAAGUCAGUAGGUCUUAAGCGCCAGAGAAGUUGCUUCGCUUCUUCUUUCUGUACAGCACGGCCCAAAACACCGACAAGCGGCCCACAGUUCGGCCUGCAUCAUCAGCAGCCCAGUUCAGUUUUCAACCCAGCAAGGCCCGCAAUUUGGCCCAAGAAUUCAACAGUUCAGUUCUCCUUGAAGUCCAGCGAAUUUGGUCCAGCAAGCCCGCAAUCCCCAGUCCAUUUGAAUCCCAUCUCCAAAGUUCAGCCCAUCUUGGGCCCACGAAGCAGGCCCAAGUCGCAGCCAAGCCAAAGCCCAGACCAAGCCCAGCAAAUUGCUGUGGGCUAGCAAGGCCUUUGGGCCCGGCCUGAGUGAUCGUCGACGUCGCCAAAAAUUCGGAUUUCGGCCGCCGUCGUGGUGAUCCGGUCUCCGCUUUUAAUCAAGAGUAACCUGAGGAGGAAGAACCCAAAGAGGAGGACCCUGAUGAGGAACCGGAGGAGGAGUUUAAGGAGGAUCCCAAGGAUGAUCCGAAGCAUGACCCGAAUGAGAACUGAGAUCCCAUCCUAUUUGCAAACCUGAGUUGUGAACUGAUGUAUGAUAGUUCAGACUUCUGUGCAUAGUAUUGUAUUAUGUACUAUGAGGUUUGCUUUGUAUAAAAGUAUGGUUGUGUUUUCAUGUUGUGAAAAAUAUGGCCCCACUUUUCUAUC